UUAUGGAUAAACUGAAGAUCUAGUCCCAUAUUGUCAUCACAUGACCUUGUGAUUUUCCCUUCACCGUUCACCACUACUACAUUAUGCAUACCAAAUCCAUCUUCCAGCUUCUUUGAUGGUACCAAGUAUUGAAUAGCUUCAAACAUGUCACCAGAUAGGAAAUAUUAACUAAAUAAAAAUAUAUAAAAUAAAAAAACAUUAAAAAGUAAAUAAAAUAUUUAUUAUAAAAAUACCGUAGAAUCGAUAUCA
rnacentral:lncRNA from 1 species